CCUGUGAGUAUCAGCAGGUUUGUGAGCUCAGUAAAUUAGCUGAAAGCCAAGCAUGCAGUCCAACAAGUAAUGAUUCUGUAAAACAGGAAAGAUUUCUGAAGACUGAACAUUAAACAUGACCUGAAAUACUUUUUCCAGUCAGAUUCAAGUCAUAUUUGUUUGUGGUUUGUGGACAUUAGUGCACAUCGCUGCUCGACGUCAACAAGAACAACAUCCGGAGCAAGAUGAAGAUUUUGCCAUGGAUUACAUUUUAUGAGAGGUGGCCUGCAUUUUUUUGCUAUACACUCAGAUCUGGGCGUGACUGGACCCGGAAGCACGUCUCUUUCCAAAAGAACUAAUUUAGGGGUUUUACAGCAAUGGGGGUAAAUACUUAUGAAAUCACAAUUUUUACGAUUUUGGUUGUAAAUAAAUUUGCAAACUAUAUUGUUUUUCUAUUCUGUUCUGUGUAGAUUCAUGACAUACUCUCACCACCCACUUUAUUAGGAACACCCGUACACCUGCUCAUUCAUGAUAUUAUCCAAUCAGCCAAUCAUGUAGACACAGUGUAAUGUAUCAAAUCAUUCUGAUACAGGACAAGAGCUUCAGUUAAUGUUCACAUCAAACAUCAGAAUGGGGAAUAAAUCUCAGUGACUUUCACAGUCACCUGUUUCUUUUCCGAGCUUCAACUGUCCAUACCCUGUGCCCACUGUAGCCUCCUGUUCUUCUCCUGUAGAUUCCUGGUCUUGGCUGACAGCAGUGGAACCUAAUGUGGUGGUCUGCUGUUGUAGCCCAUCCCCCUCAAGGUUUGAUGUGUGGUGCAUUUUGAGAUGCUUUUCUGCUUACCACAGUUGUAAAGAGUGCUUAUUUAAGUUACCACCCUGACCCAGUCUGGCCAUUUCCCUCUGACCACUCUCAUCAACAAGGCUUUUCCGCUUGCAGGACUCCCGUUCACUGGAAUUUUUUUUUUUUUGCACCAUUUUGUGUAAGUGUGAAAAUUCCUGGUGAUCAGCAGUUUCUGAAAUAUUCAAACCAGCUUGUCUGACACCAACAACCAUGCCAUGGUUAAAAUCACUGAGAUCUCUUUUUUCCCCAUUCUGAUGUUCAAAAACAUCAAUGUGUGAACAUUAACUGAAGAGCUUGGACUUGAUCUGUUCCUAAUAAAGUGGAUGGUGCACAUAUAAUCCCAAUUAAGUCCAUUUCAUUUCCAGGUUGUAACACUAUGGAAAAUGUGGACACGUUUAAAGGGGAGAAUACUUAUACAAGGCACUGUAUAUGGGUACAUGGCUUUUUUGAUUAUUAACUGAAGUCUGUUCAUCUGUUUUGUCAGAGAUAUGUGUUUGGUCCUGCGCAUAUCUCUAUUACUAUAGCAAACACUAUGGAUAUGUGAGCCAAUAUGAUGACAGUCUGAACAAACAUCACAUUGGCUCACUAUAAUUUGCAAUAAGAACAGCUUUAAAAUCUGUUUUCUAAGUUUCUCUACUGUGUGAACAAUGUCUUAGAGGCACAGUGAAGGAGAAUGAGCAGUGUGUGAGGGAGAUACAGUAUAUAGUCUAUAAUUGUUUGUUAGGGAGAGCUGGCUGGACACUGGAGCUAACUAGUGCUGGCAGUGCUCAUCAAUGAAGUCUGGCUGUCAGAGUGGCUCUAAAUCAAUCAGCAGAUCAGCCUCGAAAAGUGCAGCAGCAAUCCUUCUGGCUCUGUCCUCAUGCUCAACCCUGACGAGCAAAAAAGCAGAAAGAAAGCAGAUUUUUCCUCUCACCACUGACGAGAAGAGGAAGUGGACCGAUUUCAGGUGCUUCAGAAACUGGCAAAUGUGUGACACAAAUGAGGUGGGUGUAAAAACAAUAAAAGAUAUCCGGUGAAAUGUGGUUAGAAAGGCUGGAAUGGGUGCCUGGUGCCUUAGAUGUGGUUCUUUAGUAAGCUAACGUCCAUGUGAACCAGUCACACGUAACUUCCAGCAGCUGGUUACGAUCACAUGUGGAACGUGUUAGAUCUCAUUUACUUCUGCUCGGUUCCAGGUGCAAUCCAACAAAUUUUAUAUCAUUAAUAAAGCUCCUGCAUUCAUAUGAGUAUGAUUGAUCAUCAUCAGAUCAGAAGAGCUAUAAAGAAAUUAAUCUGCCCCUAUAUCAGUUUCGCAUGGACACAUGGUUAACGUAUGAUGAUGGAACCAACAGCCAUGGCGGAAGCAGACUUCAGCUUUUUGCCGAAACCCUGGCAGCUGCAGUGCUGCUCUAGUGCCAGCUGUUAGUCACAUCUGUUUCACCUGAUAAGGCCCCCGGGGAACACCAGACAGCUUUAUAUGUACGCCUACCACUUUAAGGUUUAAUAGAUUAUUCUUUAAACGGUAUUGAGGAAGGAAACGAGCUUCUCUUACGGCUACAGCUGCUGCCAGGCCAAGUGUUCUCAGAAACACUCAAGGCGGGGAAGGUAAGCAAAAGAGCCACUAGUGACAAACAGGCAGGAGGCAGCCUGUCUGUGUCAAUAGCAGACAGGCACCUGAUGAAGCCGUGAGAAUGGCACCGAGGAGCCAGACUAACACCAACUGGCCAGUUUACCUGACUGACACUGUCAGGUGAACAGUCUAGAGACAGGCGAUAAUCAAAGCCUGGCACACUGACACGGAGAAGCUGAAACUUUUUCAAUACAUGGCCCAACAUACUAGAAUUUGCCAGAUGUAGAUGAAAAAAUAAUGAUAUAAAUACACUAACCGGCCAUUUUAUUAGGAAUACCUGUACGUCUACACGUUCAUGCAAUUAUACAAUCAGGCAACUAUGUGGCAGUGGCACAAUUCAAUUAUCAUACAUAUACAGGUCAAUACAGGUCAAGAGCUUCAGUUAAUAUUCACAUCAAAUAUCAGAAUGGUGAAUAAGGUUAUCUCAGUGACUUUUGCCAUGGCAUGGUUGGUGGUUCAGAAAAUGCUGAUCUCCUUACACACGACAGUCUCUACAUAACAAAAAACAUCCAGUCAGCAGCAGUCAAUAAAUUCAGACAUACUGUUUAACUGUAUAUAUAUAUAUAUAUAUAUAUAUAUAUAUAUAUAUAUAUAUAUAUAUAUAUGUGGGGAUAUAUAUAUAAUAUAUAUAAAAUGGAAAUAUUUCACAUUUUUACCUAAUAAUACACAUCCAUCACUGACCUCUGUAAUAGACACUGACAUUUAAUGAAAGCCUGUAUAGAAUUUUUAUAUCUUUGAUAUUAGACUUUUUUAACAAUCCUUCAUCUAAUAUGUUAACAAACCCAUACGGUAAUUUUGCUUUAAAUAUGGAAAUAUAAACACCUUUACUCUUAUAAACUCUUAAAGCGUAAAAUCUUACGCUUUCACAAAAGAAAGACAUCUACCUCAAACCACACAGUGGUUUUAGUUACUGAUAGAACCAAGGAACUUGAGAAAACAUUAGCUAAGGCUAACUAAAAACAGCUUCAUUCCUAGUCUCUCAAAUGUAAGCUGGCAUGAUAAUAACUACACUAGCUCUAUGAUAAUAGCUAGCUGUCACAAUUCAAAAUGCCUGGAUAAAUACAAAGUGUGCAUAGCAACCGACAGAUUACAGUGAUGUGUAGGUCCCAUUCUCAUUGUCGCAUCUGUUAAACUGUAGAUUUGUUAGGAAAUGAAACUCCUUGAAGCAGUCUGAUGUGAAAAAUUCAUCUUAUGACUUAUGAAAUAUAUAGAGAAAUGUAGCAAUGUUGUAGCAACAAAAAUCCAGAUACUUUAAAAAAAACAUUUAUGCUUCUCAGUAAGAGCAUGAUCAUAUCUUUUUGAAUCAAAAUCUGUUAUUAAGUUAACCUGCUGGAUUUUAUAGCGUUGAACUCCGGCGUGGCAAAAGCGGCUGGUGCUCAACCCAAAUAAACUGUGCUGGGUUUGUUCUUCUUGUGUCUGUUUUUAUGAUGGGGAUCAAUAUUGACAGAGGUGUACUGUUGGCCAACCAUGAUCAUUGCCUUUCAUUUCUCCUCACUUUUUUGUUUGAGAGAGGAUGAAUAGAGUCGGGCUGGCUCCACUCAGUGGGGGAAGGAGGUCAUGUGAGGCCCAAAUCUGGGCCAGAGAUGAAGGUCGGCCUGUGUUUGCUGUUCAGGUCUGGCCUUGGCGGCGGCUGGCACUCAGGCCUUUCCCUGGCCUGUUCUCUGCCAGUGACCGGAGCAGACCUGAUGUAGGAGCCCCUGAGGGCCUCUAGCCAGGGCAGAGCUAAACACAGCGGCCAUGACGGAUGGCUCUGGGCUCGGACAGGAACUGUGGAGCUCAGGUGUGAAGACAAGAUGACCUUAAGGGAGUCAACAAGUCUGAACCAGAGACACUCAUGGACUUGUAUUGAGAGGCUUACAGGGAUGAAGGACGAGAAACGAGGCGCAGCAGCAGUGCAAGCUUCACACACCUCCACUGGCUCUCGUUUGAUCCGUCUGUGCUGCCUGAGCAAAGGAACUGUGGAAGAGAACACACGAGCACCAGGCGUGUCUGCUUCCACUGCUCCCAGAUUAGAGUUUCAUCUUCUAAAUGUCUUAUUAUUCACUGUGCUGUCUCGCUCCCCUUCUCUAAUUAGCACCUGUUCUUUUUUACUCACAACCGAUGCCAUGUUCCACCUGUGACAAAAAGAAAAGAGAGGGAGAGGACGGAGGGAUGGAGAUGAGAAGGGACUCAGAACGCCAGAGCGGAGGGGAGGAUGAAGGCAAUUGUCACAUCUGAUCUGCAGCAAGAUCCAGAGACAUGCAAUGUGGAAGCACACACUCGCUGUGGUGUGUAGGCCUUUGAAAGAAGAAAGUGCUGUAGAGAACUGAGAGAAACGGGAAAGAGAUGAAGUGAAAGAUGCACAUUUUUCACAAGAAGAUGGCUGUUUGAUUGUGACCCACAUUUGUCCCUGUGAAUUAAUACAAACGAGCAGCACAGAGUUGUCUCAAUGCAUGUUUCAUUUGUUUAAGGCCGUCGCCUGCAUGUGUAACGGCUUUGCAAGUUUGACAUGGCGUCUUAUAAAACACGCUACAUUUACAAAUGCAGGAAGAAACUGCAACAGCAUGAGCAAAAGUCACAAUAAAUAUGCAAGCUGAUAAAUCGUAUGUCAAAAUAUAUAUACAUCAACGUAAAGCAUUCAUUUCAGCCUACAUGUGCAGAAAUGCUAUUUAGGAAUACAAAUAAUAAUGCAGUAAAUAAUACAGCAUAAAAGUAAAAACAAUCACAACAGUUGUUGCAGAGUUGUUGUCAAUUCCAGAUUUAAUGGCACCCUCCAUGACUGUGAGCAAAAAAUAAAUAUGCCAUAUAAUAUUAA